rnacentral:lncRNA from 10 species
AAGGACGGGAGGACGUGCUCUGCAGAUAUGGAGAUAUAUACACACACGUAUCUGAAAACAUUCUGACGUUUUAAAAACGGAGCACCAGAGGAGGGGGACUUCAUCUGACUUGUUCAGCACUGUCUCCCAGGCCCUGGCACAGAGGGAGCACUCGAUACACACCGAUGGGCUGAAGGUGUGAAUGGAUCUGGGGACUAGAGUGAUGGUUAUUUGGCAGACAGCAUGCCCCGCCUGGGCAGUAGCCGUGAAGACUCUUCUUUUCCUCUCCUCGCCUGCACUCUUUAGGAUUGAACAGCAUUGGUUCAAUGCAUAUUCUGGGAGCACAGAGAAAAAAGGGAUCAAGUUCCACCAUUAUGCAAAAGGGACUCCUGUAAGCCAGGUGAAGAAGGGGCAAGGCCCUUCUUGGUCAGCAGGGAUAAGGCAGUUGUGUAUGGGAGAGCAUGCGAGGAGGGCGAGGGCUGGGGGAGAUGGAGCAGGAACAUUUGGUUGGGGCUCUGAGGCACUCUUCUGCUUGGGGAGUGUGUGGGCAAAGGCAGGGGCUGUGCAGGAAGGAUUUAGCUAAAGCCAUAAAGCUGGAAGAGGGUUUGGGGAACGGCUUUGAAGUUACAUUUGUUUUGCAAGUUCUUUGUUUUUAUUAAUGUUUGCAUGUUAUUUGGGUAGCUGUAGGGAGUAGGUUUUCGGGGAGUUAAAGUGCACUCUCUCACCCCUCCUUCAGUCCUACUACUGCCCCUAGAUACACAAUCACCUCAAGUGACUUUCACGUCACCAGGAAUGGGCAAAGUCUAGAUUUUGGAACAGAAAAUAUUUUAGGUCCCCGUCCCUCUCUGUAACCAAUAACCAAUGCCAUAUAAAUGGAAAAGUAUAAAGAAGUCCAG